rnacentral:rRNA from 1 species
AACAUAACCUUUAGCCAAACAAAUAUUAAAGGCAACGCCUGCCCAGUGAACAAUUAAACGGCCGCGGUACCCUAACCGUGCAAAGGUAGCGUAAUCAUUUGUCUACUAAUUAUAGACCUGUAUGAAAGGCAAAAUGAGGGCCUGACUGUCUCUUAUAAUAAAUCAAUUAAACUGAUCUUCUAGUAAAAAAGCUAGAAUUCCAACAUAAGACCAGAAGACCCUGUGAAGCUUAAACUAAACCAUUAAACCCAAUAAUGACUACUUUCGGUUGGGGCGACCUUGGAAAAAAAAAGAACUUCCAAACAAUGUGACUAUACUCACACUAUAAACCAGGCCUACAAGCCAAUAAACGACCCAGCACAGCUGACAAAUGAACCAAGUUACUCCAGGGAUAACAGCGCAAUCUUCUUCAAGAGCCCAUAUCAAAAAGAAGGUUUACGACCUCGAUGUUGGAUCAGGACAUCCUAAUGGUGCAGCCGCUAUUAAGGGUUCGUUUGUUCAACGAUUAAUAGUCCUAC